UCCUGCCUGGAGGCUGGCCCGGUAUAGGAAGUCCAGCUCUGAAAACUCUGCCUCCUCAGGGUCACAGGCGUCAUGCUGCCCAGGGGCAGGCUGGGAGUUGUAGUUUCGGUAGGGGAGAUGUGGCCUAAAGGGGAGGCGGCGGUCUGGAGGUGUGUCAUAUGGCGUAACCACGGCAUCUGGGCGGUCCACGCUCCAGGAGGACCAAUGACGUGUGAAGGUGUUGGCGGCGGAACCUUGAUCGGGCAAUUGUGGAGAGGCAGUGGAGGGUGAGGGGUGGGGCUGACUGCGGGAGGAGCAGGGGGUGGGUGGACGGUCGGAGUGUGUGUGUGGGUGCUCAGGGUUUGUAUGUGAGGAUGGAGGGUGUGUGUAUUGGGGGUCAGAGUAAGAGUGUGUGUGUGAGGGGGGAGCGUGUGUGUGAGACAUAUCCCAGAGUCUGAGAGAUAGAGAGGGGAGAGAGAUGGCCAGGUGUCUGCCAACAGGUCUCACACCCCCAGCCUGUAACAACUCCUCCAGGCUCAUUCCCUGUCCUCCCUCACCACUCCUCACCUGCUCCCCCUUCUCAACCUCCUCAACCUGUGCUGGGGGGUUGUUGGUGGAAGGGCGUGGGAGGGAUGAGUGGAGAGGGGGCUGACCAGGGCCCAGGGUUGCAUCCUGGUAGGCUGGCCGGACCUCUUCCCCCUCCUGAUUGGGCAUCAGCAGUACUUGGAGCGGGCCAGACUGUUCACUGAUUGGACCACAGAAGAGAAGGGACACUCAGGAGCCAAUCACAAUCAGAGUAAAUAAAGAUUUUUAAAAACACUUAAAAUGAAAAUGAUGGAACAUGUAGAAAUGAAAGCCUCUUAUGUUAGGUUUAUGACUGUGUAAUGUAGUAUUUAUAGAGCUACACGGCACUAUGUCACCACACAUACUCACACACACCGUCCCCCACCCCCCACAUUAAUUCUCCACAUCUCCGCUGGCUGGCUCAGUAAUAAUUACCCAGAAGCCUUUGCAGCAGUCACCAUAAAUCACAGGUCUAUUUUGAUGAAUAGAGGAGAGGAGGAAGAGAAUAGAGAAUACAUGAGAUAGAGCAGGAUACCUGCGAUCCAACCCAGCACCAGCCCCUCACAGAUAUCUCACCAUCAAGUACUAGUACAAACCAGUCAAGAUCAGCAUUGACCAACACAGACAGAUACAGACACUGUCCACUCUACUGCACUACACACAGAGGAGGUUUUGGACAGGCAGAUCUGGGACACACACAGAGGGGUCCUGGGGUGGUUUUUGGACAAGCAGAGCUGGCACACACACAGAGGGGUCAUGGGGUGGUUUUUGGACAAGCAGAGCUGGGACACACACAGGGGGGUCCUGUGUGGGUUUUGGGGACACACAGGGGACAGUUAUGGUACCUGCGAUGUCCCUGUGGACUGGCGCUUCCUGUUUCCUGCUCCAUAUCCUGUUCCUGUGUUAUUGGCUCCGCAGUGCUCCCCAUGCACGCAGCUACAGUCAAUCCACUACGAGAAUUAGCCUCAUGCAGGGGGCUGAACACAGCUGAGAAUGUUGAUGAGAAAGCAGGAGGAGAGAUACAGAGAGAGAUGGAAAUAGAGAGAGAUGGAGAGAGAGAUACAGAGAGAGAUGGAAGUAGAGAGAGAUGGAGAGAGAGAUACAGAGAGAGAUGGAAAUACAGAGAGAGAUGGAAGUAGAGAGAGAUGGAGAGAGAGAUACAGAGAGAGAUGGAAGUAGAGAGAGAUGGAGAGAGAGAUACAGAGAGAGAUGGAAAUAGAGAGAGAUGGAAGUAGAGAGAGAUGGAGAGAGAGAUAGAAAACAUGAGGAGAAAGAAAGAGUACAGGAGGAGAAAAAGAGAGAAAAGGUAAGGUGGAGAAGAGAGAGAGAUGGAAAGACAGAGGAAUAGAAUAGAAAGAGAGAUGGAAAGACAGAGGAAUAGAAUAGAAAGAGAGAUGGAAAGAAAGAGAGGAAUAGAAUAGAAAGAGGAAUAGAACAGAAAGAGAGGAAUAGAACAGAAAUAGAGGAAUAGAACAGAAAAUAGAGGAAUAGAACAGAAAGAGAGGAAUAGAACAGAAAUAGAGAAA
ensembl:lncRNA